GAACGCCCCUUUGGCACAGCACCCAGGGGAGGGAGCUGGAGAAGAGAAUGGGUUUGCCUUGCUUGCUCCACUUUAAAUACCUUUGCACAGAGUUCUGGCCACUGUGGUAAGGUCAGAAGGCUUUACUUGCAGUUUCUGUGUGAGCAUUGUCUCCUCUUCACCAUGGAUGCACAGCACUGCAAGAUGAAUGGAGACUCCUUCCAGGAAUCCAUGUACAUUGAAGAGUCCUCAAACAAAAAUGGUGUGAUUUCUUUGAUUUUCUCUUUGAAAGAAGAAGUUGGGGCACUGGCUAAAGUUCUGCGCACAUUUGAGG